rnacentral:rRNA from 1 species
AUUGAACGCUGGCGGCAGGCCUAACACAUGCAAGUCGAGCGGAUGACGGGAGCUUGCUCCUUGAUUCAGCGGCGGACGGGUGAGUAAUGCCUAGGAAUCUGCCUGGUAGUGGGGGACAACGUUUCGAAAGGAACGCUAAUACCGCAUACGUCCUACGAGAGAAAGUGGGGGAUCUUCGGACCUCACGCUAUCAGAUGAGCCUAGGUCGGAUUAGCUAGUUGGUGAGGUAAAGGCUCCCCAAGGCGACGAUCCGUAACUGGUCUGAGAGGAUGAUCAGUCACACUGGAACUGAGACACGGUCCAGACUCCUACGGGAGGCAGCAGUGGGGAAUAUUGGACAAUGGGCGAAAGCCUGAUCCAGCCAUGCCGCGUGUGCGAAGAAGGUCUUCGGAUUGUAAAGCACUUUAAGUUGGGAGGAAGGGCAGUAAGUUAAUACCUUGCUGUUUUGACGUUACCAACAGAAUAAGCACCGGCUAACUUCGUGCCAGCAGCCGCCGUAAUAC